AACUGAGCUAUUCCAGCUGAUGCGUACUACUGUGCUUUUCUCCUUUGAUAAUAAUUCGAAUAUGUUAACAUCUCACAUUCUCCCUAAUUUCUUUGCAAUUUCCAUUGUUUGUUUGUGGGUCUGAACUGACGAUCAAAGAAGUGAUCUACACGAGGACUUGCAAUGGAUCAGCUCGAUGAAGCCUAUAGGGGACGAAUUAACACUCUCCUGAGAGCAAUGUCUGUGGCGAAGGGUGUAAGAAAUGAUGAUGUUCCAUGCCAAAUUGAAGAGGGUCUUUACUUGGGUUCCAUCGGAGCUGCAAAUAAUAAGAGUGCAUUGAGAAGCUUAAAUAUCACACAUGUUUUAACUGUGGCCAGCUUAAAGCCUCCGUAUCCAAACGAGUUCAAAUACAAAAUUGUUGAUGUCCAGGACCAACCUGAUGUAAGCAUCUCUCGAUAUUUUGAUGAUUGCUUUGGUUUUAUUGACGAAGCUAGAGAAAUGGGUGGUAAAAUUUUGGUUCAUUGCUUUGCAGGAAUAUCUAGAAGUGUGACUAUCAUUGUUGCGUAUCUAAUAAAGACUCACAAACUUAGCUGUUCGGAAGCUUUGGAACAUGUGAAGAGUAAACGAUCUGUAGCAUCUCCGAAUCCUGGUUUCUUAUUGCAGUUGCAGAAGUUUGAAAAAUCUCUCAGAGGUAAAGAUAAUGUACUAUCCUAUUAAGACCUUCCCCAGUUUUAGGAGAAGUGGUAGCUUAAACCUUGAGAUUUAAGGCAAUGAAGUUCAACACAACGAGUCAUGUAUCCUUCUGAAAGAAAAAUUCAAGUAUAUUAAAGCACUUCUGGAGCGAUGUGGCAUGACUAAUGCAAGCACUUACAAAUGAUUCAGACACUUAGAGGAAAAUACUUUGGUUGUCAUCAAUACCUUACAAUCAUGGAUAUAUCUUCUGUGGUUAACGAGUUAUGCCACUUCAAUGCUUUUGUGCAUUGAGAUUCCUCAAGGGAACAACCAUCCCUGGGCGGGUCUUUUCAAAUAUUCGUGAUUCAGUCUUCAGUGCUAUACAUAUAGUGAUUGGGCGCAGGGGUGGGGGUUAGAUCGGAAGGAUCGUCGGUCCACCAGUGGGUAUGAUAUUUUCCUUGGCAAGUCAGUAGUCUCCUGGAUGUCGAAGAAGCAGACUACCGUUGCUCGUUCUUCAAGAGAGGGUGAAUACAAGGCCUAGCCGAUGCUUGGAUUUCUCUUUAAAGAACUAGGGCCGAGUAGAGAAAGUUCAUCUAGUUUUGAGCAAUAAAGACUUUGCCUGUUGAUAUUAAUCACGUGAAGCAGGACAAUGGACUUGAAGAUUCGCAAGCAACUAAUCGCCUCUUUCUUACAAC